rnacentral:lncRNA from 1 species
AACCAAUUCUGUCCUAAGAGGGUAAACAGAUAAAAUUAAGAGAUAUGGCUAGGCAGGUAUCAUCCACAGAAUCAAGGAGACUCUCCCCGUUAAAUGUUCGAAAGCACAGGAGCCCAGGCUGAUCAGAGAUCCAGGAGUUCCUUCAGGCUUCUCUCGUCAAAUGAAUGGGCUCCAUGUGGUUUCAGACUUUGUGCUUGUGAUGGCUUGAAUUGUAUCCCACCGAAAGAUAUGUUGAAGUCCCAGCACCCAAGACCUCUGAAUGUGAUCUUAUUGGGAAGAAGGGUCUUUGCAGAUGUACUCAAGGUAAGACGAGGUCAUCCUGGAGUAGGGUGGCCAAUCCAAUGGGGCAGGUGCCCUUAUUGGUGGAGAAGAGACAGAGACAUGCGGGGAGAAAACUGCCAUUGACAAUGGAGGCAGAGUUGGUGUGAUAAAUCUAAAACCCAAGGAAUGCCAAGGGUUGCCAGUGAACGCAAGAAGCUGGAAGAAGCAAGAACGGAUUCUUCCUUAAAGAUUUCAGAGGGUGCAUGGCUCUGCCAACAACUUGAUUUCAAAAUUCUAGCCUCCAGAAUUGUGAGACAAAAAGUUCCAUAGAACUUUCCAGGCUAGGGGUCAAAUUGGAGCUGCAGCUGUCAGGCUACACCGCAACCACAGGAACCCAGGACCUAUGCUGCAGCUCAAGGCAAUGCCAGAUCCUUAAGCCAUUGCCAGGAUAGAACCCAUGUCCUCAUGGAUAAUAGUCAGGUUCGUUACUGCUGAGCCAUAAUGGAACAUCCCCAAAAGUUUGUUGUAAGCCACUUAGUUUGUGGGAUUUGUUACAGCAGCCCUAGGAAACAAAUACAGUUUUUCUGCUCCAGGUUCAAAUUCCAAGAAGCAAACCUCCAGGUAGCCCAGCUAAUGCUAUGUGCACACCCAUGAGGCCGUAUUAGGAGGGGUGGGUGGCCCUCCAAAGGGCAAAGGGAUGCUGUUGCCACGAGUAGGGAGAAUGGGUGAGGGCAGCAAAACCAGGAGAUGCACCUGGUGUGAGCCCAGGUGCACUGCUGGAGCCUCGUGACCUGGGGCGGUGGUUCAGGAAUGUGGAGGCCACUUCCUCCUCCUCCCACCUCCUCGUGGUGGUGUUUCUGUGAUUUCUUCCUGGUGGAGCAAAUUCAAGCCUCUUUACAAAUUAAACAUUAUCACAAGGGUCUUUGUAACUAUACUGAACUUUCCACUUUAUUUUUUUAUUUAAAAUUUUUUAUUAGAGUCAAUUUCUUCUGUACAGCAAAGUGACCCAGUCAUACAUGUAUACACAUUAUUUUUCUCAUAUUAUCUUCCAUCAUGUUCUAUCACAAGAGACUGGCUAUAGCUUCCUUGCUAUACGGUAGGACCUCAUUGCUUAUCCAUUCUAAAUGUAAUAGAAACUCUCCAUUUUUAAAAUCACCCACAUAUGCAUCAACCCAACCACGCAGCUCUUUAUCCACCCAUCCAUCCACUUCUGGCCUGCCCAUCCUUCUACCUACUCAUCCACCAUGAACUGAUCUUUACGCUUAUCCAUUCAUCUACUCUACCACCUAACUAUUUACAGAUGAGCACCUAGGUCUACCAGGCAAUAUUCAUAAGUUCAUUCACUCAUUCAUUCAUUCAGUAAAUCAAUCAGUAUUUGUUGAGUGCCUCCUCUGUGUCAGACAAUGUUCUAGUUGAUGGAAAUAAAGCAAUGAAUAAAAAGAUAUGAUCUGUACCAUCAUGGAGUUUGCAGUAUACUUGUAAAGACAGAUGUUCAACCAAUGAUGAGGAAGAUAAAAUAUGAGGUAACUUCUCUUUUGGUCCUAAUGCCUUUCCCUGAUACUUCUCUCUCUUUAGCGUGUAUGGAAGGCUUUGUCCUUUUAGGGCCACAUCCAAGCCUUAUCUUCCACCAAUACCACAGCUCACAGCAAUGCCCAAUCUUCAACCCACUGAGCAGGGCCAUGGAUCAAACCCGUGUCUUCAUGGAUACUAGUCAGGUUUGUUACCACUGAGCCACAAUGGGAAUUCCAAGAAAAGUGUACAUUUUAAUUCACUUUUUCUCAGUCCUUGUCACAUAGAAGGAGCCAAAAAAAUACUUUUUAAAUGAUAAUGAGGAACCCUACCUCUUCUGUAGUUUUCUGAGUUUGGACCCAUUGAAAUGUUUAAAAACAUUAAGCAGUGUUUUUACAGAUUUCCAUAGCUGUUCUAUGCCAUGCACUGUAGAGGUAAAAAAAACCACCCCAGGAAACUGAGAGGAAUGAACAGCAUUUAGUGGGGGAAAAACUGUAAUUGCAAUGUAUACAUGUAAGGAUAACCUGACCCCCUUGCUGUACAGUGGGAAAAAAAAAAAAAAAAAAAGGAACAGCAUUUACCACACUGUGAAGCUUGGCAGGACUCAGACAAACAACUUAUGUUGAUUUAUUUUCUUUUUCCUUUUUUUUUUUUUUUUGUCUUUUGUCUUCUUAGGGCCGCACCCACAGCGUAUGGAGGUUCCCAGGCUAGGUGUCAAAUCAGAGCUGUAUCUACCAGCCUACACCACAGCCACAGCCACAGCAACAUGGGAUCCAAGCCACAUCUGCGACCUAGUACCAUACCUCACGACAAUGCCAGAUCCUCACUGAGUGAAGCCAGUGAUAGAACCUGUGUUCUCGUGGAUACUAGUCAGGUUUGUUAACCACUGAGGCAUGACGGGAACUCCUUAUGUUGGUAUAUUUUCACCCUACUUUAUAAUGUUUUUUAUUUAGGGCCCAAACCCAUGCAGAGUGUGUAGGCAUCACCUGGCAGCUGCUAGAGAUGCAGGUUCUUGCUUCCCACCUCAGACCCCCAGAAUUGGAAUCUGCAUUCUAGCAAGAUCCCAGGUGAUUCUCAUGCUCAGUGAAGUAGAAGUACUGGACCACUGAAGGCUGAGAGAACGAGGUGUGGUUGCUCUCUGUCCACUCCUCUCCCACACGGACUGCUGCAGUCGUGAAAAUGAUCACAUCCAGGAAAUGCAGGAGAAGGGAGGACAGGUAAGGGCAGUGCUACCCCUUAACUCUUGGCAAGAGCCCUCCCCUUCCUGCAGCUCUCCUCUGGCCAGGUGCGUCCUGCUGGCUGAGGAGUCCAUGAGACCCAGGGGAGUGUCCCCUGGGGACCACCUCUAGACCCUUGUCGGCUGCACGCUGAGUGAGACUCUGGAGUUCCCUGCACAACUGGCCCCAAUCAUGUUUCUGCCUGGACUUCUUCUCAGGCAUUGCAUUCUGACCACCCAGGUUCCAGUGCCAGCCCUGCCCCUACCCCUCUACUGAGGUACUGGACCUCAGGACAGAUGACAGCAGUGCCUGGAGCUGCCCUUCCUCCACAGGACGAGGCCAAUACCUGUGCUUCUCUAGGCCCCAGGGGUGGCCCUCCCUCUCUUCCAGAUGCUGUCCAUCAAACGUCUUCCUCCUCCCUUCUCCUUCUCUCAUGGCCCUUGCACUUUGGGUUUGUUGGAGGAAAAGAGGAAUGACUCAAGGGGGAGAGAACGAAGAAGUAGUUUGUGAGGAACUGAAUGACCCUACACCCUGGUCUCCUGUAUUAUAACCUACUUCAGGGCGCACACUUUUCUUUGUCCCUGUGGACAAAUAGCCCUUGCCUAGAUUUGGUCAUCUCAUAUCUGCAUGUCUUUUUACUUUGGUACUGAAUCUCUAAUCUUUUUUUUUUUUUUUUUUUUUGUCUUUUUGCCAUUUCUUGGGCCGCUCCAGCGGCAUAUGGAGCUUCCCAGGCUAGGGGUCAAAUCGGAGCUGUAGCGGCCGGCCUACACCAUAGCCACAGCUACUCAGGAUCCGAGCCGCAUCUGAGACCUACACCACAGCUCGAGGCAAUGCCGGAUCCUUAACCCACUGAGCAAGGCCAGGAAUCGAACCUGCAACCUCAUGGUUCCUAGUCAGAUUCGUUAACCACUGAGCCAUGACAGGAACUCCUCCAAGCAGUCUUUUUGAGGAAGGGAAAUAUAGCCAGAGUCAUUUUCUUUACCUACCCUCCUGGGACUUGGCUUCAGUGUGUACACAAGUGGCCAUGAUAGUAUGGGAUGGAGCCAGGGGAGGGAAAAGAACACGAGUGGGAUCUUGGCUUAAUAGACAUUAAUCUACAGUAGGUGCUCAGUAAAUGUUUAAAGACUAUGUCUUUCUGUGCUUGUUUCCUCUGCAGGGUAUCUUGGUUAAGAUAUUUGAGGUGCUUUACCACAUAGCUCCCACUAGAUGUCACUGUUGUCAUGUUUGCAAAUCCCAUCUACUUCAUUUCCUCCUACCCUGCCCCCACCGUGGUUUGAUUUCAUCACAUUUAGAACACAUAUACCUAUACAUUUUUAAGUUGGCAGAUUUUUCCUCUAAUAAUUAUGGAAUUCUUGCUUUACUUACAUGUUGUCACUGACUUCCCAUUACUUUUGUUGUUUUACUUACUCCUAUAUUGGGCUUCCAAAGGUCUUGUACACAGAAUGUACUUAAUUAAAUUUGAAUUGAAUUGAAAAGAGGGAGUUUCUAGGGAUUUGAGGAGGAUAGUGUCAUUCUACUUUAACUUACUACAGUACUAUUUAUUUUUAAAAAAUUAAGUAAAUACCUUGAUUGUACUAGGGUUUUUAACCAGAUAACUGUUAAGCCAAAUUCAGUGUGAAUUUUUUUUUUUUUUUUUUUGCUUUUUUAGGGCCACACCUGUGGCAUAUGGAGGUUCCCAGGCUAGGGGUCUAAUUGGAUCUGUAGCUGCCGGCCACAGCCACGGCCACAGC